CAAAAUCAUUAUGUCAAGUGAGAGAGGCCAGACAAAAAAGGUCACUUACCGUACAGUUUCAUUUGUCGCAACUAUCCGGAAAGCUGACGUCUCUGCCGCCCCCACCCCCACCCUACCGUCCGCGCUGCCAAGGGCGUCUCCUCCGGGACUCUCAGCUCGGCAGCUGCCAUCUUCCCCGCGGACAUCACUGCAGGCCCAUCACGGUCUGGCACAGUCUCCCCUGCCUUGACUGCCACAGAGGAGCACGACUGGAUCCCAGGUGGCCUGGACAGGGCUGGCGGCGGGGCGGGCGUGACCCCAGUCCCCUUGGGGUCCCGGCGCCGGCUUGGGAGGGGACGGAUGGGGUUGAGGAGGCCGCAGUCCUUCUGCCCUCCCUGAGGGUAUCAGGAGCCCUUCGCAGAGGACACGGUGGACCACAGGCCACAGUGGAAGAGGAGUGGGAUAUAGAGCCGUUAGAGGAGGAGGAGUCUGAUUUCGAGCUGAAGGACCUGGGGGAGGAGGAGCACUUGGAGGACGCGGAGCACCUGUUGGACGAGGUCGAGGAGGAGGAGACACUAGUGGAUGAGGAGAGUGAGCAGGGAGGCGCAGCAGUAGUUGCAGGCGACGUGGACCCCUUGGAGCAGUUUGUGUCUGUGUUCUGGGCUCUGGUCCACUCCCUUCUACACAGUUUCUCCUACGAUGACCAUGGCCUGAUCUGGCCUCUGGCCCCUGCCCGAUGGUCAGGCACAGCUCCUGGCCUCCCACAGGCCCUGCAAAGUGUCCUGCGCCUCCGCAGGAGUAGGAAGACCUGAGAGAGGGAGGCGAGGCCUCGCAGGUUCCGGUCCCAACGUCUGUAUUAUACUUUACAAAAGAAGCGAGUGAUUAUCAGUAUGAAGAUUCUGAUGAGGAGGUCCAAGAAGCUGAAGGUGGGGAGGAGGACAGCAAUGAAAAACCAGAAGAAGGACCUGAAAAGGACCUGGACCCAGCAGAGGACAGCCCCAGAGAUCCCCGAGAGAAAUUGAGACACCUUACAGUAAAAAUACAUCAACAAUAGCCACACUAUUCACAAUAGCCAAGACGUGGAAGAACCUGAAUGUCCAACAGAUGAAUGGAUAAAGAAGAUGUGCUACAUUACUCAGAAUGAAACAGUGCCAUUUGCAGCAGCAUGGAGUAACAUCGAUGGACCUAGAGAUUACCAUACCAAGUGAACAGAUGAAUGGAUAAGAAAGCUGUGGUACAUAUACACAAUGGAGUAUUACUCAGCCGUUAAAAAGAAUUCAUUUGAAUCAGUUCUGUUGAGAUGGAUGAAACUGGAGCCGAUUAUACAGAGUGAAGUCAGCCAGAAAGAAAAACACCAAUACAGUAUACUAACACAUAUAUAUGGAAUUUAGGAAGAUUGCAAUGACGACCCUGUAUGCAAGACAGGGAAAGAGACACAGAUGUGUAUAACGGACUUUUGGACUCAGA
ensembl:lncRNA